rnacentral:rRNA from 1 species
AGUGGGGAAUCUUGCGCAAUGGGCGAAAGCCUGACGCAGCAACGCCGCGUGAGCGAAGAAGGCCUUCGGGUUGUAAAGCUCUGUCAGGGGGAAAGAAGGCACCUGGGUUAAUAGCCCAAGGGCUGACGGUACCCCCAAAGGAAGCCACGGCUAACUACGUGCCAGCAGCCGCGGUAAUACGUAGGUGGCGAGCGUUGUCCGGAAUCAUUGGGCGUAAAGAGCGCGUAGGUGGCUUGUUAGGUCUGAUGUGAAACCCUGGGGCUCAACCCCAGGCCUGCAUCAGAAACCGGCUUGCUAGAGUCUGGGAGAGGAGAGUGGAAUUCCUGGUGUAGCGGUGAAAUGCGUAGAUAUCAGGAGGAACACCGGUAGCGAAGGCGGCUCUCUGGAACAGUACUGACGCUGAGGCGCGAAAGCUAGGGGAGCGAACAGGAUUAGAUACCCUGGUAGUCCUAGCCGUAAACGAUGGACACUAGGUGUCGGGGGUGUCGACUCCCUCGGUG